rnacentral:tRNA from 1 species
GUUUGAUUAGCUCAGUUGGUUAGAGCAACCGAAGCCAUCGGUCGGACGUAGGUUAAAAUCCUACAUCAAACUCCC